UGUGUGUGUGUGUGUGUGUGAUGUAUGCAUUAUUUAAUGUCAAAAUAAGCAUAGUAAAUGGGACUAUGAUGUUGAUGAGUGCUGUUUGGCUGCAUGAUUUGUUAGCAAUGACAAUCCAUUGGGUUAGUGUAAAUAGCUGAAUCAUUGAUUUUAUGUGCUUGCAUGGUGAUAAUGUUCAUGAUAAGACUCUUUUAAGUUAUUUAUUUGUUUAUGUAGCCAUGCUCUCUUACAGAUGAUGCUAAGCUUACUCCUCUUUUACGUCUUGUAGCU
rnacentral:misc_RNA from 1 species